GGCAAAAGCAGAAGUGACAGAAGCUAAAGAAAAGGCAUUUUGUGAGCUUUACAAGACGUUGAAUAGUACGGAUAGAGAAAAGGACUUGUACCAAUUGGCCAGACAAAGAGACAGAGCUUGAAAGGAUGUGCAACAGGUUAGGGUGAUAAAAUAUGCAGAUGGUAAUGGACUGAUAAGUGAGGUGUGUGUG